rnacentral:rRNA from 1 species
UUUAUAUGAGAGUUUGAUCCUGGCUCAGGAUGAACGCUGGCGGCGUGCCUAAUACAUGCAAGUCGAACGAGUUCUCGUUGAUGAUCGGUGCUUGCACCGAGAUUCAACAUGGAACGAGUGGCGGACGGGUGAGUAACACGUGGGUAACCUGCCCUUAAGUGGGGGUAACAUUUGGAAACAGAUGCUAAUACGCAGAUCCAAGAACCGCAUGGUUCUUGGCUGAAAGAUGGCGUAAGCUAUCGCUUUUGGAUGGACCCGCGGCGUAUUAGCUAGUUGGUGAGGUAAUGGCUCACCAAGGCGAUGAUACGUAGCCGAACUGAGAGGUUGAUCGGCCACAUUGGGACUGAGACACGGCCCAAACUCCUACGGGAGGCAGCAGUAGGGAAUCUUCCACAAUGGACGCAAGUCUGAUGGAGCAACGCCGCGUGAGUGAAGAAGGCUUUCGGGUCGUAAAACUCUGUUGUUGGAGAAGAAUGGUCGGCAGAGUAACUGUUGUCGGCGUGACGGUAUCCAACCAGAAAGCCACGGCUAACUACGUGCCAGCAGCCGCGGUAAUACGUAGGUGGCAAGCGUUAUCCGGAUUUAUUGGGCGUAAAGCGAGCGCAGGCGGUUUUUUAAGUCUGAUGUGAAAGCCCUCGGCUUAACCGAGGAAGCGCAUCGGAAACUGGGAAACUUGAGUGCAGAAGAGGACAGUGGAACUCCAUGUGUAGCGGUGAAAUGCGUAGAUAUAUGGAAGAACACCAGUGGCGAAGGCGGCUGUCUGGUCUGUAACUGACGCUGAGGCUCGAAAGCAUGGGUAGCGAACAGGAUUAGAUACCCUGGUAGUCCAUGCCGUAAACGAUGAAUGCUAGGUGUUGGAGGGUUUCCGCCCUUCAGUGCCGCAGCUAACGCAUUAAGCAUUCCGCCUGGGGAGUACGACCGCAAGGUUGAAACUCAAAGGAAUUGACGGGGGCCCGCACAAGCGGUGGAGCAUGUGGUUUAAUUCGAAGCAACGCGAAGAACCUUACCAGGUCUUGACAUCUUUUGAUCACCUGAGAGAUCAGGUUUCUUCGGGGCAAAAUGACAGGUGGUGCAUGGUUGUCGUCAGCUCGUGUCGUGAGAUGUUGGGUUAAGUCCCGCAACGAGCGCAACCCUUAUGACUAGUUGCCAGCAUUUAGUUGGGCACUCUAGUAAGACUGCCGGUGACAAACCGGAGGAAGGUGGGGAUGACGUCAAAUCAUCAUGCCCCUUAUGACCUGGGCUACACGUGCUACAAUGGAUGGUACAACGAGUUGCGAGACCGCGAGGUCAAGCUAAUCUCUUAAAGCCAUUCUCAGUUCGGACUGUAGGCUGCAACUCGCCUACACGAAGUCGGAAUCGCUAGUAAUCGCGGAUCAGCACGCCGCGGUGAAUACGUUCCCGGGCCUUGUACACACCGCCCGUCACACCAUGAGAGUUUGUAACACCCGAAGCCGGUGGCGUAACCCUUUUAGGAGCGAGCCGUCAAAUGAAGGGUGAAGUCGUAACAAGGUAGCCGUAGGAGAACCUGCGGCUGGAUCACCUCCUUUCUAAGGAA